AUUAAACCAUAAAAAUAAGAUAGGCUAGAGUAAGAGAUGGGCCUGGAAAAAUAUUGAUAGAGAUCGGCCCAUAUGUUGAGGGGAAAAAAUAAAGGCAGUCCUCUACAUAUAUCAAUACUGUUCUCUGGGUUUUCAAGAGAAAUCCCUUGAAGGUAGACAAAAUGGUAAAUGUCACAAGAAUAAAAAUCAAAGCCUGCAAGUUGACUGCUGCAGACAGAAUGGAGAAACUUGUUGUUUUGGUUGGCCUGAUGGUCCACUUUUUUUUUUUUUAAACAGAUGCCAUGUUUUAGUAGCCUUCUCAGUGGGAUGCCAGCUUUAUAGGCUUUUGCAAAGUGAAACGGGGCAUUCAUUUUAUUUCUUUUAACCUUUGGAAAUGAUCUCAUGUGUGUGUUUCUCUUUUUUUGGACUUGUCAUUCAAAUGUUUAAUUUAAACAUGUCACAUUUGAUAUUCCUCCUCCUCCUGUCCUCACCCCCAUCCACAUGUGCGCACACUGCGUGGACUGAUUGCCCCUUGGGCUCAUAUGUUGGAAUCGACCAGGUAGGCCAGCCCUGCCAUUGGGGCAUUAGUAAAUGUGCCUGUGCGUGGGUCUCGGUCCAACACAGUUGAUAUACAUUUGUUUACCUGUUAUAGUUGCAAGUUGUACAGGCUGACAUUGCCUCGAUCGACAGUGAUGCUGUCGUUCACCCGACAAACACUGACUUCUACAUCGGUGGUGAAGAAACACGCUGGAGAAGAAAGGUGGCAAGGAGUUUGUGGAAGCUGUCCUGGAACUCCGGAAAAAGAACGGGCCCUUGGAAGUAGCUGGAGCUGCUGUCAGCGCAGGCCAUGGCCUGCCUGCCAAGUUUGUGAUCCACUGUAAUAGUCCAGUUUGGGGUGCAGACAAGUGUGAAGAACUUCUGGAAAAGACAGUGAAAAACUGCUUGGCCCUGGCUGAUGAUAAGAAGCUGAAAUCCAUUGCAUUUCCAUCCAUCGGCAGCGGCAGGAACGGUUUUCCAAAGCAGACAGCAGCUCAGCUGAUUCUGAAGGCCAUCUCCAGUUACUUCGUGUCCACAAUGUCCUCUUCCAUCAAAACGGUGUACUUCGUGCUUUUUGACAGCGAGAGUAUAGGCAUCUAUGUGCAGGAAAUGGCCAAGCUGGACGCCAACUAGGCUGAGCAACGACAGAACCAGCUGCACCAUGUACCCCACCUUCAGUUUAAAAGAAAAAAAAAAUCCCCUUCACUCCUACUGGGAGGUGGGACCCCUUUCAUUUUCAGUUUUGCUCAUCUAGGGAAAAUAAGGCUUUGGUUUCCAGUUUAAUUGUUUUUGACCUUCUAAAAUGUUUUUAUGUUAGCACUGAUAGUUGGCAUUACUGUUGUUAAGCACUGUGUUCCAGACCGUGUCUGACUUAGUGUAACCUAGGAGAUUUUAUAGUUUUAUUUUAAUGAAACCCUGAUUGACGCACAGCAGUGGGGAGAACAGCAUCUUUUACCUGUCACCGAAGCCAGGAAGCCCCGUUUGUAAGCGUGUGUUGUGGUGCUUUAUCGUACAUCCAGUGGCGUUCUUUUUACUCUAAUGUUCUUUUUGUUUCCCCCCUCAGAAGAAUCAUGACUUUGCAACAGACCUAAUUUUUGGUUACUUUUUGUCUUAUUGAUGGAUUUGCAAAUGAAAGAUUUAAUAAGGCAAAGCAGAAUCUGUUGUCCUUAAUUAUAUUUGCAAUUUGGAAUUUGUGUGAGUUGAUUUAGUAAAAUGUUAAACCGUU
rnacentral:sRNA from 1 species